AGCUCAAUGAUAUUUUUUAGCAGAAUCCAAACAGCUAGCCAGACGUUCAGCGUUAUUCCAAGUUUAUAUCGGAUCUCAAUCCAAAUUUCCGUAGAAAGGCCAUCUUAAUAUCAUUCAUUGGUUGGUUACGUGACAACGCAUAAAAUUGUCAUUUCCGUUCCAUAAUGACUAUUGUACGAUUUAAAUUUAAUCAAACUCAAAAACGUUUAAAAUUAAAUGGCAAAUUGGUAACUCUGACAAUAAUUUCAAAUGUGUUCCCCUAAAACUAUGCCACAUUCGCAUUAUAUCGUCAUAUACAUCAUAUGUUGACUUUAAUGAUUCCACCUUCCAUGAGCAUCCAACCGUUCACUCAACAAAUUGGGCCUCUUCACGGAGAAAGGCAAAGGAAAAGUGUAAUUGUUAGAAUAGAAAAUAAAAACAAAUCGAUUUUCGUUCGACCGUCCCCGUUACAUGUUUGGUAUUUCACACGUUUCGUUUUUCGUAACAGACGAUGAACUCAUAAACAAAGUCUGCUGAUGCACCAAGUUAACUGACCUAUGCUCACACUCAGCCAGUUCCGUCUGUAAAAAUCCGGGGUAAGCAUCGCCUGUUUGUUGCUUUUCAUUUCUACUCAACAUUCUAGGUAAAAAGUACCGAGCUCUACAAUAGCUAGCCAAACAAGUCCAAACAGUGCCACAUGCAACUGGUCGGUAUGUCGGCGUGUAAGGUGUGAGGUGUUGUUGAUAGGUGAUGGCUCGCUUAACAUUCGGCGAGUAUCAUCAUCGCCUUCGCCAUGUCUGUGUUGGAGGUGGUCAACAGAUUCUUUUUCGCGCACAUCUGUUUAUUUUUCUUGUGAUGGGCCUCAUUAGAAUUUAUUAUGAUCCAUGUGUGAACUGCAAUUCAAAUGUUUACAGUGCACUACUCAAUUCCCAUCAAUUUACAGGCAGCGAACAUUCGAUUAAUGUUUUAUGAAUUGUUGAUGUCAAUCUGGAAUCGAGAAAAUAAGAAAAAAAUUUAUCUUAUACGUCGAAUAUAUAAUUCUUAAACUGUUAUUUUUGAAAAAGAUACAUUUUAAAUAAAAUCACAUUAAAAGUGUUCAAAUAAAACAGCGAUAUUAUCCAUAUGCUCCUAGCAAAAAGUCGCACUACUAUAUAACAUGAUUGGAAUGUCUUUCCGCACAGAAAUACCAAUAGUUAAGAAAUAAAUUGUUAUGCCCAGGGCUGCGGACUCGGAGUCGAGCAAUUUUUGCUGGAAUCAGAAUCGAGGACCUUGCCUCUACUUCGACUCCUAACAAAAGAGAAAAAUGGUUCCACGAAAAAAAAAAAUUUUAAGAAAAGAAAUUCAUUAAAAUUUUGUAUUAAGAAAAAUUUCAUUUAAAUUUUGUUUUUAGAAAAAGUUUCAUUCAAAUUCUGUCUUUAAAAACUUGUCAUUGAAAUUAUGUCUCUAGAAAAAAUGCCAUUGACAUUUCA